rnacentral:rRNA from 1 species
GACGAACGCUGGCGGCGUGCUUAACACAUGCAAGUCGAACGGAAAGGCCCUGCUUUUGUGGGGUGCUCGAGUGGCGAACGGGUGAGUAACACGUGAGUAACCUGCCCUUGACUUUGGGAUAACUUCAGGAAACUGGGGCUAAUACCGGAUAGGAGCUCCUGCUGCAUGGUGGGGGUUGGAAAGUUUCGGCGGUUGGGGAUGGACUCGCGGCUUAUCAGCUUGUUGGUGGGGUAGUGGCUUACCAAGGCUUUGACGGGUAGCCGGCCUGAGAGGGUGACCGGCCACAUUGGGACUGAGAUACGGCCCAGACUCCUACGGGAGGCAGCAGUGGGGAAUAUUGCACAAUGGGCGGAAGCCUGAUGCAUCAACGCCGCGUGCGGGAUGACGGCCUUCGGGUUGUAAACCGCUUUCGCCUGUGACGAAGCGUGAGUGACGGUAAUGGGUAAAGAAGCACCGGCUAACUACGU